GACGGCGCUCGCGGUUCUUAUCAGUGUCAGUUCGCUCUUCUCUACCGAUCAGAUCACCUCGCGGUUUUGCUAAAAUAUCAACGGGUCUUUGAGUACGUGGGUCAUUUUUUGAUGGGCAUACACAGUCUACCGAGGUCAUCUUUAUCUGAAUCCUCAGAGCUAGAGUGUUCAAAGUUGUCAGCAAACAUUCUUUCUUCACCCCGAAGUUCUUCAACACUGGGUUUUUUGGUAUUGGCUGAGACUACGCUCAAAAUGCUUUCAAAAACUUUGGGACCUUCCAUAUUUUUGUGAUGAUUCCUGUCGAGCAAAAUACUGAAAUCAAUAUCCUGUUCAGCUUAUUAUUACAGAUUUAAAACAUGUUCAACGGUUGACUAAUUCGGUCGACGUUUUAACUCACCAUGUGGGAAGCACGCGCCACGCAAGGGUAACCAGCAAACGUCAUUUGAGCUUGAAGCCACACACUUCAAGUUGAAAGAAAGAUUCCAUCAGAGUGCUAACAAAUGCAGGCCAGCUUCACCAUCCCAGAUUUAUUUCUAAUUUUUUCCUGAUUAUAUCUCAUUUUUCCCGAGUAAUUUUCGAUUUUUUAAGUAAUUAUUCAAUUACCACAUCUUCCCCGCCGAAAAAGUGACAACUAGCGCCAAAAAGCGUAACACCGGCUCGCGGAACUCGGAUGAACUAAAAUUUCAAGUUUCUUGCCCCUUGACGCCACGAGACCCGCCUUACAACAAAGAUGUAAUUUCGUUGACUGAUAAUAACUAACAAUAAGAAGAAUAAGAGUGCAUCCUCAAAAGCAGAGGGGCUAGACUGACAGCUAGAAAAUUGAAUUCAAUCUAGAGAAGAGUCCUAUCAUACUUGGUUGUUUUUUGGCAUGAAUACCAGAAGAGUUGAUCACUGCUAUUCGUUUCAUUCUUCCAGGUCGAACUGUAUUUAUCCCAGAGGAGAAUGCACAGCUGAAAUGACAGAGUCCUUGUGGUACACGUCAGAUGUUAUUAUUACACCCCUGUGUACCUUAGCGGAAAGUCAGUGCUGGUGUGUCGCUGGACAAGGUCCAGCUGCCCACCGCAAGCAUGUUGUUGCUCUGCUUUUGAAAACGACACAGAGAGUUGGAGGAGAAGAAAUCAUACUUCCUAGUACAUGUAUCUACUCGAGAACUGCAGUCAUUCCAUACUGGCCCUAUUUCUGAACCCCUCUUGAAGUUCAAGAUUCGGAUUCCUGAGAUCAAAAUACAUGAGGAUAGCGUGAGGAGCCCUUCACAAAAAAAUCUGUGCUUUCAUCUCAGAUUUUGAGAAAAUUCCAAGGCU